AAAACAUAGUCAUAAUUCUUCAAAAACAAUACGUAAGGAAUAGAAAGCAAUAACAAAGUUCCCAUCCCGUUACGUAUCAGAGCACCUAGAGACACUUGAGCCACCACUUCUACUGAUCAUUAAUACCUGCAAGUUACUCAUACGAAGAGCAACAUUUUCAAGCAGAAGGGGUGAGAUUUCACAAAACAAUAAUAUCAAGCAUAUAAUUCAAUAAUUAUAUUUAACAACAUAAAUAACUUCAUCUAUUAGUAAUAAUAAUUUUUCAUGUAAUAAUUCUUAAUAGUUCAACCAACUUCUAAUUAUCAUUUACUUCAUAGUCAUCACAUUAUAAACAUCAUCAUAUAAUACAUAAUAACCAAAUCAUAACCAACAUAGAUCAUCACAUCAUAGUUCUGUUGAAACAAAAAUCUUUUUGAUGAAUGUUUUAAUGAUAACAAACCUUAUGGAAUAAAGACUAAGUUUUAUGAAUAGUGAUCUACUGAUGGUUGCACUUAAGUGUUUUCACAGAAGUAGACAAGAAAGAAGUCUCUUACAAGUGCAUAUAAAUACUCAGUAGAAGAACACCAAAACAAUCGCAUCACAAGCUCAAAGAAGAUAUCAAAAGAAUAUUGUUUGAAUCAAAUGAGUGUUUAUUGAAGAUUCAACAAGAAGAUAUAUUUUAUGAGCAAUUGACUCAUCCUCACCACCGCUUGGUUUUCAAUAAAGUCUUAAAGAUUCGAGGAAUAAAGGGUUAAUAUUUGAAAGAAAUGAUCUUCAAAUAGUUUCUAAAAGAGUUUAAGGCACAAAAGUUUCAUUCAAGAGAAUGAAUGUACCUUCAUGUUUACAUGCAUGCCUAAGCUAAAACAUCUCAAAGAUACUCAAUGGACAAAAAACAUUGUGUGCAAUCACCAAGAGAAAUUAUGUGCUAAAUUGCAUCAUCAACAAAAUAAUUCACGGUUAAUUAACCGAGAAUGUAUUGUCAUCUCAUAUAGAAGAAAACAUUAUCAACUCCGACGAAAGAAUGGUCUCAUGAUAAGGAUGCAUAUUACACUCGAAAUUAUUCUCAUCAUUUCAUCAAAAUGAUUAGAAUCAACUUUGAAGAGAAACCAAUUCAUGAAUAAAUUAUUUAUCAAGUCAUUCAUUAAUGAUAUUGAUAUCAAAAAAGAAAAUUCAUGAUCAUAUACUUGGAGAUUAUAUCAUAAAAGACUUAUGAUAGUCCAAGAAUCUUACAUCACUAUUCAAGAUAUGAUUUGGAGAAUAGAAAUCAAUCAAAGGAAUUUUGACUUUGAAAAAGGUUUCUCAUGUUCCUACAAAUAUCAUUCUUGUCAUACAAAGUGAAGAAAGCAUCCUCAUUUGAUGUUUUAAAAGAUAACAAAAAUAUUACAAUUAUUAUUUUGUUAUUCACUAAUGUGUUUUGUGAGAAUGUUUCAGUGAGAAUGUUCUGGAGAACGUUCUGGUCACUGUUCACAAAGCAAAUAAAUAAUUUUCAUCAAAAGACAAAUCAUCAAAAUGGAAAGCAUGACAUAAAUCCAAUACAAGAAUUUGUCUUGGGCUUAAAUGAUUUUUGAUCCAUUUGAAGCAAAGCUCAUUAAGGAAUAUGUCUCCAAAGUUACUAUCAUAUGACAUCAUCAAAGACAUCAUCUUAUGGCAUCAUGCAAUGACAUCAAGAUUACAUCAUCAUAAGUGGCCUCCAAGCUUCUACAAUCAAGAGAACAACUGGUUGCACUUUUACAACUCAUUACAGCUAGUAAAAGCGUGUCAAAUAUUUCUCAAGUCUAGCUGUAUGCAGAGAAUGUUCUGGAGAACGUUCUGCAAGUGCAAAAUUUCAUGUUUUCUCUCCAAGCAUCAAGUGGAGCCAAUUUUUCAGUUUGAAAUGAGUUCCAACAGCUCUUUUUUAGCUUGAUCUCCAAGACAUACAUCUUCUAUAAAUAGAGGACGUCUAUGAAGGUUAAAAGCAAGAGUUUGAAACACAAAGCAUUUAUCUCUCUCAAAGCAAAAGGCUAUCAAUCUCUUCAUCAAUGUCUUUUUCAAUCACAAAGCAAACUCCAUAAUCUUUCACUAUAUUUAUCAUCUUUAUCUCUCAUUGAGAACAUCUUUUUGAGUUUGUAUUUGUAAAAGGAUAGUUUGUUUGAGACACAAAGAUCCAAACAACAUCCUACAUAUUUUUGUUUGAGACGCUAGAUCCAAACAACAUCUUUCUUAUUUUUGUUUGAGACAUUAGAUCCAAACAAUCAUCCUACAAAGUGAUAACUAGAUCUCAAGUCUAUUGGGCUUAAUAGUUUGAGAUAGGAAGAGUUCCAACCUUUCUUGUGCGAAAGCAAAGAAUUGUAGAAGCCUGCUGAGGUUGAUAAUACAGGGGUUACAGACUGAUCUGGUGUGAUCAAGACCUUAUAGUGUUGGUUAGAAGUUUCUACCACUGUAUACUAUAAUGGAUAAUCUCACACGAAGUGUGGGGACUGGAAGUAGCCGAGUUUGGUGAACCAGGAUAACUCUUUUGUGUUAUUCUUCUCCCUCUCUCUCUCUCUCUCUCUAUCUUUUAUUUUUACACGAUAUGCACACACUAUCACAAGCAUUAAUAUUUAUUUAUCUCCAGAAUGUUCUGGUCCUAAUUAAUCACAACCAAAUUAAUCCAGAGUUCUCUGGUCCUUAAUUAACCAUAAUAUUAUUUUAUCAUUCAGUUUAAAUAAUUAAUCUUAUAAUUGUUAUCCAGAAUAUUCUGGUCCUAAUAUUACUUCUUAAUAUUUAUAUUCUUCCAGAGUUCUCUGGUCCUUGGUAUUUAUUAAUAUUGUUUUAGUAUUUCAGUCUCUUUAUUAAUUAUAUAAUUAUUAUCCAGAACAUUCUGGUCCUUAAUAAAACAAUUGUUUAAAUAUAUAAAUAUUUCAUAAUCUUCUUCUAUCUAACAUUUACCAAGAAUUUUCUUGAGUAUAUAAAGUUGUUAAGUUUCAGGAUUAAAAAAAAAAAAAGGGUCACAAUUCAAACCCCCCCUUUCUUGUGACUAUUUAUUUCACUUCAAGUUCAUAUACAACAUAACAACAUCAUUAAUUCGUAAUAGUACUUAUUCAUCAAACAUCUCAUUAUCAAUUCAUGAAUAAAAGACAGCUUAUCAAUUUAACAUAAACAUCAUCAAGUACACUUAACAACUCAUAGAUAUCAUCAUCACUAAUAACUUUAAAACAACACAAUGUAAUCAAAAUCUCACUAUAAUAAUAAUCAUAUAUGACACAACAUAAUCAUCGCUUAAUAAUAAUAAUCAUAUACAAUACAACAUAAAUCAUCAUCUUAUAACGACAUGAACAACACAUAUUAAUCAUCUUAAUUAUAUAAUAACAACAUAUACAUCAUCUCGUCAUAAUAUAAUAAUAUAACAACAACAUAUUCAUCUUCAUAUAAUAAUAUAACAGCAACAACAUAUUCAUCAUCUUAUCAAAAUAUAAUCAACACAUACUAACACCAUAAUCAACAUAAACAUCUUAAACAUAAUCAUCUUAAACAAUAUCAUCUUAAACAUCAUAGCAUCUUUGAUAAACAAUUACCAAGUAAUCACAACAUUCGAUCAUCAUCAAUAACAUAACAAUAUCAUAAUCAAUAUCUUAAACAACAUAGCAACAUCUUAGUCAACAUCAUAUAAUUCACAUCAUAAACAUCGUAUAAUCUUCAUAGGUACUUCUUUAACAACACAUGGGUAGAAGACAACUCGACAACUCAUAGAUGAUAAUUCAUCGACAACUUAACAAAUCAUGGAUGAUAAUUCAUCAACAACGACCUUGACUCGACAAAUGCGACAAUGCAACUUAUACACUUAUAUGCAUGUGGUACCAAUUGUCAUCAUAAGUAUUAAUAUACUUUAAUCGUGCGGAGGACAAAGCUCCUAAACGUGCGGAGGACAAAGCUCCUAAUCGUGGUCAGGACAAAGCUCAAUGAAUGUUAAUGCAUGGACUCUAUCAACAAGACACUUUAAUCAACUUAUCACUUAUACAUCCAAUAAUUUGGAGUUCAUCAUCAACUUAUUCAUACUAAUAAUCGUGCGGAGGACAAAGCUCCUAAUAUAAUUUAAUAAUAUUUCGAGUAAUGCAUUUAAUCAUUAAAUCACAUUAUAAACAACUUAGCAGUUCAUAACAGCAACAGAAACAGCACAAGCAAUUCACAACAUAACAAUAUUAAUAUAAAGUAUAUUAAUAUGGCGUCAGGUUCGCCAGUGACAAUGCUUGAAGCGAGAUCUGCCUUCAACUGCUUCUUUUCUUCCUUCACUGCACCGGCGAGAUCUGCCUUCGCUGCAACGGCGAGAUCUUCAUUCAAUGCACCGGCGGCGGCGGCCUCGCCCUCAAGGUCAUCAUACAAGAGUUUGUUGACUUCUACCGCUGUUGGUAAAUCGGUAGUUGUAACACCCCAUUUUCCCAACAUAAAAAUUUCAUUUAAUAAUCAAAGUUAUUCACGUAAACGGAAUGCUACACUUCUUUUCUUAAAAUCAUAAACUGAAUAAAUAACUAUUUAUCAUUUAAAAUUUAAUAACAAAAUCUUUAAUACUUCGCAGCGGAAUUUAUUCAAUAACUAAAACCAGUCUUUGGCACUAAGGCCUCUUUACAAUUAUGUUAUAAAAAUUCAUUCUAAAAACAUAGUCAUAAUUCUUCAAAAACAAUACGUAAGGAAUAGAAAGCAAUAACAAAGUUCCCAUCCCGUUACGUAUCAGAGCACCUAGAGACACUUGAGCCACCACUCCUACUAAUCAUUAAUACCUGCAAGUUACUCAUACGAAGAGCAACAUUUUCAAGCAGAAGGGGUGAGAUUUCACAAAACAAUAAUAUCAAGCAUAUAAUUCAAUAAUUAUAUUUAACAACAUAAAUAACUUCAUC
rnacentral:lncRNA from 1 species